rnacentral:rRNA from 1 species
AGCAGCCGCGGUAAUUCCAGCUCCAAUAGCGUAUAUUAAAGUUGUUGCAGUUAAAAAGCUCGUAGUUGAAUUUCGGGGUCAGUAGGUCGGUCGUGCCACUGGUAUGAACUGGUUUUACUGAUUCCUCCCUCUUGAAGAACUGUAAUGCCAUUAAUUUGGUGUUGCAGGGAAUCAGGACUGUUACUUUGAAAAAAUUAGAGUGUUUAAAGCAGGCUUUAGCUUGAAUACAUUAGCAUGGAAUAAUGAAAUAGGACGUUUGAUCCUAAUUUUGUUGGUUUCUAGGAUUGACGUAAUGAUUAAUAGGGAUAGUUGGGGGCAUUAGUAUUCAAUUGUCAGAGGUGAAAUUCUUGGAUUUAUUGAAGACUAACUACUGCGAAAGCAUUUGCCAAGGAUGUUUUCAUUAAUCAAGAACGAAAGUUAGGGGAUCGAAGACGAUCAGAUACCGUCGUAGUCUUAACCAUAAACUAUGCCGACUAGGGAUCGGAUGAUGUUAAUUUUUUAAUGACUCA